AGCAUGGCGGCAGGCUACAUGCAAGUCGAGCGGACAGAUGGGAGCUUGCUCCCUGAUGUUAGCGGCGGACGGGUGAGUAACACGUGGGUAACCUGCCUGUAAGACUGGGAUAACUCCGGGAAACCGGGGCUAAUACCGGAUGCUUGUUUGAACCGCAUGGUUCAGACAUAAAAGGUGGCUUCGGCUACCACUUACAGAUGGACCCGCGGCGCAUUAGCUAGUUGGUGAGGUAACGGCUCACCAAGGCGACGAUGCGUAGCCGACCUGAGAGGGUGAUCGGCCACACUGGGACUGAGACACGGCCCAGACUCCUACGGGAGGCAGCAGUAGGGAAUCUUCCGCAAUGGACGAAAGUCUGACGGAGCAACGCCGCGUGAGUGAUGAAGGUUUUCGGAUCGUAAAGCUCUGUUGUUAGGGAAGAACAAGUGCCGUUCAAAUAGGGCGGCACCUUGACGGUACCUAACCAGAAAGCCACGGCUAACUACGUGCGCCAGCCGCGGUAAUACGUAGGUGGCAAGCGUUGUCCGGAAUUAUUGGGCGUAAAGGGCUCGCAGGCGGUUUCUUAAGUCUGAUGUGAAAGCCCCCGGCUCAACCGGGGAGGGUCAUUGGAAACUGGGGAACUUGAGUGCAGAAGAGGAGAGUGGAAUUCCACGUGUAGCGGUGAAAUGCGUAGAGAUGUGGAGGAACACCAGUGGCGAAGGCGACUCUCUGGUCUGUAACUGACGCUGAAGAGCGAAAGCGUGGGGAGCGAACAGGAUUAGAUACCCUGGUAGUCCACGCCCCUAAACGAUGAAUGCUAGAGUUUUGGGGGUUCCGCCCCUUUUAGCUGCAGCUAACGCAUUAAGCGCUCCCCGCCCCGGGGGUAAACGGGCCAGAAAGAACCUC
rnacentral:rRNA from 1 species